AGAGUUUGAUCAUGGCUCAGAUUGAACGCUGGCGGCAUGCCUUACACAUGCAAGUCGAACGGCAGCACGGGAGCAAUCCUGGUGGCGAGUGGCGAACGGGUGAGUAAUGUAUCGGAACGUACCUUUCAGUGGGGGAUAACGUAGCGAAAGUUACGCUAAUACCGCAUAUUCUGUGAGCAGGAAAGCAGGGGAUCGCAAGACCUUGCGCUGAUUGAGCGGCCGAUAUCAGAUUAGCUAGUUGGUGAGGUAAAGGCUCACCAAGGCGACGAUCUGUAGCGGGUCUGAGAGGAUGAUCCGCCACACUGGAACUGAGACACGGUCCAGACUCCUACGGGAGGCAGCAGUGGGGAAUUUUGCGCAAUGGGCGAAAGCCUGACGCAGCAACGCCGCGUGAGUGAUGAAGGCUUUCGGGUCGUAAAGCUCUGUCGAGGGGAAAGAAGUGUAUUGUGGUUAAUACCCAUGAUACUUGACGGUACCCCUAAAGGAAGCACCGGCUAACUCCGUGCCAGCAGCCGCGGUAAUACGGGGGGUGCAAGCGUUGUUCGGAAUUAUUGGGCGUAAAGCGCGUGUAGGCGGUUUGAUUAGUCUGAUGUGAAAGCCCUGGGCUCAACCCAGGAAGUGCAUUGGAAACUGUCAGACUUGAAUACGGGAGAGGGUAGUGGAAUUCCUAGUGUAGGAGUGAAAUCCGUAGAUAUUAGGAGGAACACCGGUGGCGAAGGCGGCUACCUGGACCGAUAUUGACGCUGAGACGCGAAAGCGUGGGUAGCAAACAGGAUUAGAUACCCUGGUAGUCC
rnacentral:rRNA from 1 species